GACGAACGCUGGCGGCGUGCCUAAUACAUGCAAGUUGAGCGCUGAAGGUUGGUACUUGUACCGACUGGAUGAGCAGCGAACGGGUGAGUAACGCGUGGUGAAUCUGCCUUUGAGCGGGGGACAACUUUUGGAAACGAAUGCUAAUACCGCAUAAAAACUUUAAACACAAGUUUUAAUUUUGAAAGAUGCAAUUGCUUCACUCAAUGAUGAUCCCGCGUUGUAUUAGCUAGUUGGUGAGGUAAAGGCUCACCAAGGCGAUGAUACAUAGCCGACCUGAGAAGGUGAUCGGCCAAAAUGGGAAUGAGAAAAGGCCCAAAAUACUACGGGAGGGAGCAGGAGGGAAACUUCGGCAAAGGACGAAAGUCUGACCGAGCAAAGCCGGGUGAGGGAAGAAGGUUGUGGGAUCGUAAAAAUCUGUUGGUAGAGAAGAAAGAAGGGGAGAGUGGAAAGCGCAUGAAGUGACGGUAACUACACAGAAAGGGACGGCUAACUACGUG
rnacentral:rRNA from 1 species